rnacentral:rRNA from 1 species
CACUACUUCUGGAAUGGGUAAUGACUUAAACCUAUAUGGCCCCUGGAUUGGACUGCGGCCGAUCAGGCUGUUGGUGAGGUAAUGGCCCACCAAACCUGUAACCGGUACGGGCUCUGAGAGGAGGAGCCCGGAGAUGGGCACUGAGACAAGGGCCCAGGCCCUAUGGGGCGCAGCAGGCGCGAAACCUCUGCAAUAGGCGAAAGCCUGACAGGGUUACUCUUAGUGAUUUCCGUUAAGGAGAUCUUUUGGCACCUCUAAAAAUGGUGCAGAAUAAGGGGUGGGCAAGUCUGGUGUCAGCCGCCGCGGUAAUACCAGCACCCCGAGUGGUCGGGACGUUUAUUGGGCCUAAAGCAUCCGUAGCCGGUUCUACAAGUCUUCCGUUAAAUCCACCUGCUUAACAGAUGGGCUGCGGAAGAUACUAUGGAGCUAGGAGGCGGGAGAGGCAAGCGGUACUCGAUGGGUAGGGGUAAAAUCCGUUGAUCCAUUGAAGACCACCAGUGGCGAAGGCGGCUUGCCAGAACGCGCUCGACGGUGAGGGAUGAAAGCUGGGGGAGCAAACCGGAUUAGAUACCCGGGUAGUCCCAGCUGUAAACGAUGCAGACUCGGUGAUGAAUUGGCUUCAUGCCAAUUCAGUGCCGCAGGGAAGCCGUUAAGUUUGCCGCCUGGGGAGUACGGUCGCAGGACUGAAACUUAA